rnacentral:rRNA from 1 species
AUGGUUGUCGUCAGCUCGUGUCGUGAGAUGUUCGGGUUAAGUCCCGCAACGAGCGCAACCCUUAUUGCUAGUUACCAUCAUUGAUUGGGGACUCUAGCGAGACUGCCAGUGAUAAACUGGAGGAAGGUGGGGAUGACGUCAAAUCAUCAUGCCCCUUAUGACCUGGGCUACAAACGUGAUACAAUGGCUGGAACAAAGGGAGGCGAAGGGGUGACCUGGAGCGAAACUCAAAAAACAGUCUCAGUUCGGAUUGAAGUCUGCAACUCGACUUCAUGAAGUCGGAAUCGCUAGUAAUCGCGGAUCAGAACGCCGCGGUGAAUACGUUCUCGGGGUUU